UCCGAGAUAGUAUAAUGGUUAGUAUUCCUGCCUGUUGAUAGUCAGGAGAAUCAGGUUCAAUUCCUGGACUCGGAG
rnacentral:tRNA from 2 species